rnacentral:rRNA from 1 species
GAGUUUGAUCCUGGCUCAGAACGAACGCUGGCGGCAGGCUUAACACAUGCAAGUCGAGGGGUAACAGAAAAAAGCUUGCUUUUUUGCUGACGACCGGCGAACGGGUGCGCACCGCGUAUGGAACCCGCCUUGUACAGGGGAAUAGCCCAGGGAAACUUGGAUUAAUGCCCCGUAGUACCGUAUUUCGGCAUCGUUAUACGGUUAAAGCCUUCGGGCGGUACAAGAUGGCCAUGCGUCCCAUUAGCUUGUUGGUAAGGUAACGGCUUACCAAGGCUACGAUGGGUAGGGGCCCUGAGAGGGGGAUCCCCCACACUGGGACUGAGACACGGCCCAGACUCCUACGGGAGGCAGCAGUGGGGAAUAUUGGACAAUGGGCGAAAGCCUGAUCCAGCCAUGCCGCGUGAGUGAUGAAGGCCUUAGGGUUGUAAAGCUCUUUCAGUGGGGAAGAUAAUGACGGUACCCACAGAAGAAGCCCCGGCUAACUUCGUGCCAGCCGCCGCAGU